GCGAUGGGUAGGGUCGGGAGGCCAGCCGUCUUCCAUACUCGAAACCGGCUACAAGCGAGGACCAGCAACCUUCAGGUUAACAUGGCAUGCCUCUCGCCCAGGCCAAGCCGGUGGAGCUGAACCUGCGCCCCAACGGGUGGUCGCAAAGGGAAAAGGCACUUCGAAGGGAGUGCGACUAUUCCCCGAACCGUCGAAACGUGUCAGGCCCGGGAGGGAGCAGCACUAAGGCGGUGCGGUUACGCUGUUGGGUCUACGUGGGCGAUUCGCUGUCUUGGUACAGCGGGGGGUAUGUCAUGGGAAUCCGGAGGGUCCGUCGC
rnacentral:SRP_RNA from 1 species